rnacentral:rRNA from 1 species
UACGGGGGGGGCAAGCGUUGUUCGGAAUUACUGGGCGUAAAGGGCUCGUAGGCGGCCAACUAAGUCAUACGUGAAAUCCCUCGGCUUAACCGGGGAACUGCGUCUGAUACUGGAUGGCUUGAGUACGGAAGAGGCGAGUGGAAUUCCUGGUGUAGCGGUGAAAUGCGCAGAUAUCAGGAGGAACACCAAUUGCGAAGGCAGCUCGCUGGGACGUUACUGACGCUGAGACGCGAAAGCGUGGGGAGCAAACAGG